GACGAACGCUGGCGGCGUGCUUAACACAUGCAAGUCGAACGGAAAGGCCCUGCUUUUGUGGGGUGCUCGAGUGGCGAACGGGUGAGUAACACGUGAGUAACCUGCCCUUGACUUUGGGAUAACUUCAGGAAACUGGGGCUAAUACCGGAUAGGAGCUCCUGCUGCAUGGUGGGGGUUGGAAAGUUUCGGCGGUUGGGGAUGGACUCGCGGCUUAUCAGCUUGUUGGUGGGGUAGUGGCUUACCAAGGCUUUGACGGGUAGCCGGCCUGAGAGGGUGACCGGCCACCUUGGGCCUGGGCUAGGGCCCGGACUCCUACGGGAGCCAGCGGUGGGGAAUAUUCCACAAUGGGCCGAAGCCUGAUGCAGCAACGCCGCGUGCGGGAUGACGGCCUUCGGGUUGUAACCCGCUUUCGCCUGUGACGAAGCGUGAGUGACGGUAAUGGGUAAAGAAGCACCGGCUAACUACGUG
rnacentral:rRNA from 1 species